rnacentral:sRNA from 1 species
GGAGCUCAGGACAGGUACCUGAACUCUGAGAGGGCUUCACAGAGGAGGUGACCCAAAUGUAAGUCCUAAAUGACAAAUAGAGAUGCUCCAGCUGGACCAGAGAGUGGGAGGCAUGCCAGGCAGAAGGCGCAGCCGAGUUCAAGGGCCUGGAGCAUUCUGUCUCAGAGCGUUAUUUUGGUCUGAUGUCCACACGAAGCCUCCGGUCUGUGGUGGUGCCCAGGUGCCGGGGGACAGCAGAGGCACUUCAGAUCACGGUGGGCCACAUCCUGGGAGACGCUGGCAGCCCCUAUCUCACAGGACUUAUCUCUAGUGUCCUGCGGGCCAGGCGCCCUGACUCCUACCUGCAGCGCUUCCUCAGCCUGCAACAGAGCUUCCUGUGCUGCGCCUUUGUCAUCGCCCUGGGGGGCGGCUGCUUCCUGCUGACUGCGCUGUACCUGGAGAGAGACGAGGCCCGGGCCUGGCAGCCUGUCACAGGGACCCCAGACAGCAAGGAUGUGGACAGCAACGACCUGGAGAGACAAGGCCUGCUUU